rnacentral:rRNA from 1 species
UUCACCUACGGGACGCAGCAGUGGGGAAUAUUGCACAAUGGGGGAACCCUGAUGCAGCGACGCCGCGUGAGUGAAGAAGUAUUUCGGUACGUAAAGCUCUAGCAGCAGGGAAGAAAAUGACGGUACCUGACUAAGAAGCCCCGGCUAACUACGUGCCAGCAGCCGCGGUAAUACGUAGGGGGCAAGCGUUAUCCGGAUUUACUGGGUGUAAAGGGAGCGUAGACGGCAGCGCAAGUCUGGAGUGAA